GCUUACGGCCAUACCAACCUGGCGAUGCCCGAUCUCGUCUGAUCUCGGAAGCUAAGCCAGGCUUGGGCCUGGUUAGUACUUGGGAUGGGAGACCGCCUGGGAAUACCAGGUGCUGUAAGCU
rnacentral:rRNA from 1 species